rnacentral:rRNA from 1 species
GUCGAACGCUUCUUUUUCACCGGAGCUUGCUCCACCGGAAAAAGAGGAGUGGCGAACGGGUGAGUAACACGUGGGUAACCUGCCCAUCAGAAGGGGAUAACACUUGGAAACAGGUGCUAAUACCGUAUAACAAUCGAAACCGCAUGGUUUUGAUUUGAAAGGCGCUUUCGGGUGUCGCUGAUGGAUGGACCCGCGGUGCAUUAGCUAGUUGGUGAGGUAACGGCUCACCAAGGCCACGAUGCAUAGCCGACCUGAGAGGGUGAUCGGCCACAUUGGGACUGAGACACGGCCCAAACUCCUACGGGAGGCAGCAGUAGGGAAUCUUCGGCAAUGGACGAAAGUCUGACCGAGCAACGCCGCGUGAGUGAAGAAGGUUUUCGGAUCGUAAAACUCUGUUGUUAGAGAAGAACAAGGAUGAGAGUAACUGUUCAUCCCUUGACGGUAUCUAACCAGAAAGCCACGGCUAACUACGUGCCAGCAGCCGCGGUAAUACGUAGGUGGCAAGCGUUGUCCGGAUUUAUUGGGCGUAAAGCGAGCGCAGGCGGUUUCUUAAGUCUGAUGUGAAAGCCCCCGGCUCAACCGGGGAGGGUCAUUGGAAACUGGGAGACUUGAGUGCAGAAGAGGAGAGUGGAAUUCCAUGUGUAGCGGUGAAAUGCGUAGAUAUAUGGAGGAACCCAGUGGCGAGGCGGCUCUCUGGUCUGUACUGACGCUGAGCUCGAAGCG